UACGAAGGGGGCUAGCGUUGUUCGGAAUUACUGGGCGUAAAGCGUGCGCAGGCGGCUUCUCAAGUCAGGGGUGAAAGCCCAGAGCUCAACUCUGGAAUUGCCUUUGAGACUGAGUGGCUUGAGUACGAGAGAGGUGAGUGGAAUUCCCAGUGUAGAGGUGAAAUGCGUAGAUAUCGGAAGGAACACCAGUGGCGAAAGCGGCUUCCUGGUCCAGCACCGACGUUCAGGCACGAAAGCGUGGGGAGCAAACAGG
rnacentral:rRNA from 1 species